AAAAAAAAACUUAAGGUGCACACAGAUAUCUUUAAGUAAUUUUAAUUAGACUCUCAUGAGAAAUGAGAAUCUUACAUAUCACUCUUAAGGGAAACUGUCGCGUUUUGUUCCGUAGAAAUGUCCCAGUUUCUGUGUCCACCGAAAUUGAGAUUAUAUUUAGGUUGUUUAUUCGGGUAGAAUGCACCAAAGUGUUUCUCCAACUCUGGUUGCUUCUGGUUUUCAUCGAACAUGGCGAAUAUGUAAGUCUCUAUAGCUUUGUCAGGCCUCUUCGGCGUCCCUCCUUUCACAUGCCUAAUCAAAUUCGAGAGUUAAGUACCUGCGUUAUCAGACGUUGUUCCGAAUCCUCCAGCCGAUGGCCAUCCACUAGCUGAGACAGGCGAAGAUAAAGAAAAGAAAAGGAAAAAGAAAAAAAAUUAUGGCAAUGAGAUUAUAUAUAUAUAUAUAUAUAUAUAUAUAUAUAUUAACAUACAAGUUUAACAUAAAAAAUAUAUAUAUAAAAAAAAUUAAAGAGACAAUUGCCCCCUUUUGAUCCACUGUGGCUCGCCAGUGGGAGUGAUCUUGUUCUCCUUGACGGUAGUCAAUGUACAAUUUGCCAUUAUAUAUUGAAAAGGAGAAAAGAAAAGGUUCAUGGGCCUGUAUUCUCCACAUUCUUAUAAUGCUUAAUUAACUUUCAGAAAUGUCUUCGUCUUUUUUAUAAUUAAGCCCUGUUGUUAAGUGUCUCUUUCUCUCAUAAGUUUGGUUGCGUAGAAAAUUCUUGCCCGUUUGUGGAAACUGGAAACCAAUGACAAUGCAUUUGGUUGCUUUUAAUAUAAUUUUGGCAUCCCACUGGCCUGGGCAUCGUUGCCCAUUAUGAGUACUGAUGGCCUUUUAAAAAAAAAAAAAAAAAGUUAUGGGCACUGAUUUUGAUGGGAACCCGGCACCAAAAAGUAUACGAAAAAACUAACUAUAAAUUAAAAGGUAUCAGCCUUUUACAGUGCAAUAUAUAGUUAAAAGAAGAUGGUUUUUGUUAUUAGUUUUUUAUUUUAUUUAAUUUAUUAAUAUUAUUUUUUUUAUUUAGUUAUUACAUUCUCAUUCUAUGAAUUCUAUAUUUGACAAGUUAACCUACUUUUGCAGAUUAACCCAAUUCAUUCAGAUUUUUUUUAUUAGUUUUUUCUUUCAGUAGUUUUUUUUUUUUUUUAAUUAAUCUUUUUUAUGUUUAAUUUAGUUUGUUGAUAUUAUUUUUUUUUCUAUUUAAUUAUCACAUUUUCAUAACAAUGAUCCCGAAUUUAACGGGUUAACCCAGUUGAUUUAUAUUUUAUUUUUUUUAUUAGUUUUUUUUUAAUUUCAUCUUUUAAUAUCGAAACUAUAACUAAAAAGUAUCAACCUUUCACUAUAAAUUCCACUGUGCAAGUCCAUGGUAAACGGUGAAUAUGUUUUAGUUAUAAGUAUUUUUUUAGCUUUUUUGCUUUUUAAUUAGUUUUUUUUGUUUAAUUUAUUUCGCUAAUAUUAAUUUUUUCUAUUUAAUUAUCAUACUCUGAUGACAUGGAUUUCAAGUUUAACGGAUUAACCCAGUUAAUUCAAUUUUUUUUAGAUAGCUUUUUUCUUUCAAUUUUAUAUGUUAAUAUCAAAUUGAUUAAGAAUUAAAUUUCAUGAUUUAUUUUAUUUUGUUUAAUUUUUAUUAGAUUAUCGUGAUCUCAUAGUAAGAUUUUAUUGUACCUCUCCUCGCAAAGCACUAUUUAUUAGGAUAUUGCUUUACUUUGUUUUUCUUUUCUUUUCAAUUAUUUUUUUUUUAAUAUUAAUUUUUUUUUAUUCAAUUAUCACACUUUCAUAAACACCACCUACUAUUACUAUAAUUAUCAAUCACUUAUCUUACCAACAUCACCUACUACUAUUACUUUUCAUGUUAUUGAAUACUUUACCUAAAAAACAAAUAAAGUUAUUUAAACUAAAAAAAUCAAUUAAUUAUCUACCACAUCAAUUAAUUUCAAGAUUUGUCGGUCAUGAAACACGCGCUUGCAAGCAUGUGACCAACAAACAUGAUUGUAGGUUCAUCCCCGUUCAUUGUUGCAUGAUAUAGUGAUAUAUGAUAUCCAUGAAACGUCAAGCCAAAUAAACAAAUUGGAAUGGAGGGUGUAAUUGAUUUUAUUGUCCACGAGCGUGUCCUGGCUCAAUGAACAACAAUAACGUAUAAGAGCUGAGAAUGGUAAAGCUUUGAAUUAAAAUAUUGAAAAAAAAAAGUUAUUUAAAUGAAUACGGGACUAAAAAUGCAUUUGUCGAAAAAAAAUAUUAAAAAAUAAACAUGUUUUAUUGUAUAUGUAAUUCACAGCAAUAAUAAAAAAAAUCCUAAGCAUUUUUUACUUAUUUUUCAUAUAUAAGGUAUUAAAAUACAAGGUAUUAACAUAAAAGCUAUAUCCUCGCCUCUUUUUAUUAGAGCGGGCCUACUGGCAUUUAUUUGUUUUAAUUUGAGGGAGCGUCUUAUUUUUGAAAUUUUUUAUAAAUUAUUGUUUUUUUUUUAAUUGUGUUUUUUUAUUGUUUUAAUAUAUUGAGGUUACAAAAAUUAAAAAAAAUAAUAAACAAUACUUAAAAAUAAAAUAAACAAUCAUUACUCUAGUACCAGAUAUUACCUAAAUUUUCACUCACAGGGAUGCUAAUGAUGGUGCUCAGGCUUUAAAAGCCCAAAAUGCAGAUGCAGACACAGCCCCCGUGGGCCUUGGGUCGAACAAGAUGGAAGCCAUGCUAUACACACGCAGAUGCAUAUAUCCAGAAUAAUUUUACACUCGGUCUGAAUUUUUAUACGAGAGUCUCUUGACUUUUUAAUUUUUUUAUUUUUUUAUAAGUUUGAAUUGUUUUAAUAUGUUGACAUUCAUCAUUAUCCCAGAAACCUUUUUAUCAAUGUUUGUUUAGAAAGUAUCAUUGUAGUUAAUUUUUAAAAUAUUUUUUAUAUUAAAAUAUAUUAAAAUAAUAUUUUUUUUAUUUUUAAAAAUUAUUUUUAAAAUUAAUAUAUCAAAACAAUCAUUUUCAAACACUCAUUUAUAUUUUUCUUGUGGCCAUCCUUUUAAGAGGUGUUUGAGAGCAUGUUUGGCGUGUUUUUAAAAUUUUUUAAUUUUUUUUAAAAGUUAGAAUUGUUUUAAUAUGUUGACAUUCAUCAUUAUCCCAGAAACCUUUUUAUCCACCAUGCCCUUUCCAGGCUUUAAAUGCAAGUCCUCGCAUUAUAACUGUACUCUUAUUUUCUCAGUAAAUAAAUUUGCACGUAUAACCUACAUAUUAUCCUUACGAUAAAUUUAUUUUUUCUGUGGCUAAAAACAUACAGAGAGAAGAGAGAGGAGUCACAGGUGUAGUAGAGUUCUCUACCGUCUGUACCGUUUAUCUCUAAAAUCCAUUUUUUAACAAAAUCCAAUCUAAUCUACGCAUCAAAAACACAAACACAGCACCCAAAGCUUGCUCUGAUAAUUUAGCUCACUUUCUUUUCCGUGUCAUGAACUCUCCAAUUCUCUCAUGGUUCUAGAAAUUAUAUAUAAUUUUUGGUAUCUUUUCUACCUUUAUCAGUUCGUCAUUUUGAUUUAAAUUUCGAGAGUACUUUAUAGUAGAGAUAGAUGUUGUUUUUAAAAAUAAUUUUUAUUUGAAAAUAUAUUAAAAUAAUAUAUAUUUUUUUAUUUUUUAAAAUUGAUUUUUAACAUGAAUAAAUAAAUAAAUAAAAUACAGAAAAAUAAAAAUAAAAUAAAAGAUUUACAAAAUUACAAUUCAACCAUGACGUCAAAUACCCUCUUAAUUGAAAUAAAUAUCCGUUCUUUUAGAGCUUAAGAAAAACAAAUCUCCUUUCCUAGCUAUCCUUUUAAAAGAUGCUUGAGAGUACGGUUUAAUCAUGCUUUUAAAAAAAAAUAUUUUUUUAAUUUUAAAAUAUUUUUUUAAAUAUUUGAAUUGUUUUAAUGUAUUAAUAUAAAAAAAUAAAAAUAUUAUUUUAAUAAUUUUUAAAUAAAAAAAACUUUAAAAACAACAUCACCGUAUCCCAGAAACCUUUUUAAUCUCUUAAUACAAGCAGUUGUGACCAGAAUAUGCACGGUGUCGUUUUGAAAAUCCCAGACGUUAUAUAUUAUACUAGCAUAUUUACCUCUCUAUGUUGCCGGAGAGAUUAAAACUUAGUUUUUUAAUACAAAAAAGUGAGAAUUUGCCAAUGUGUUUUUAAGCUUGAAUAGAAUAUUUUGUUGUGAAUGUGCCAGUUCAUACGUGUUUUUAAUUAAAUAAACUGAUUAAACUGGUAAAUAAAUAUUAUGGGUGAGAUCAAAUCAUUUUAUUUUGAUUUAUGAUGGGAAUUACUUUUGCGCAAAUGGAGCGUCAUUUGCACGCCCAUUUUUCAAAUAGCAUACAAGUGGUUGGAAAUUUAAGCUGGAAAUUUUUGGAUUAAAAAAUUUAUUUUUUAAUAUAUUUUUAUUUAAAAAUAAAUAACAAAUAUUAUUAUCAUAUAAGUAAAUCAAUUUCUUAAUUCAAAAACUCUUUUAAAAAAAUUUUAAAAAACCAAAAUCAAAUUAAAAAUAUAUAUUUCUCAACUCCAGUCUAUUUUUUUUAAAAUAAAAACUUAAAAACAUCUAAAUAAAUAUUCUCUCGUUGAAUUGAAUUUAUUUAUACAUUGAUCAUCAUCUUUUUAUUUCCAAAAAGUGAUUAACCAAUAUUUUUUUUCCCCGUUAUUUUUCUUUGAGUUUCACUUUUGUUUCUUAAAUUCAAAAACUAAAAAUUAAUAAAAUAAUUUUUUUUUACCAUAACUAAAAUUCCAAAAGCGAACCGACAAGGAAGAAUAGGUUGGCUAAAAAGCAUUCUUUCGCUGACUUUGAGAGUGGGCAUGUACUUUACAUUGCAGUCAUAGCACAUUUAUUUUUUAUUUUUUAACUUCAAUCGAAAACUUGAUCUCAUAGAAGUUAGAACUAAAUAAUUAAAUUGAAAAUAAAUUAAAUAUAAAAAAGGAGUUUUUUCGUUGCGAGUUGCGACAAGUAACAUGCCAUCGAGAAACUUUCAUGGUUUUUAACCCUUCAAGAUGAUUAGAAAAGUGGGAUGUAUUUUUUUAAUUUAUAAAUCAACUUUUUAAUCUAUUUUUAUAAUUAAACACUUAAUAAACAUAGUUAUUAUAUCAAUAAAUCAAUACUUAAACUAAAAACACCCAUAAAUAAAUACCAAAACACAUAAUUAAUCGGUUUUAUUUAUGGUAUAAUGAAAGCCUGAAAAUAUAUUAAUCAAUUUUUUUUAUUAAUUAAAAUUUAUUAAUAUCAAAAUUAAUUUUUUUUUAUUGUUAGAACAUGUCUAACUAGUAACUUUCUCUAUCUCACUGAUUUUUAUUGAGUUUUGCUGUUAUUUACCACGAUUCAGGGAUUAAAAAAUAAAUAAAAUGAACUUCAUGACUAAAACUAUAAUUUCAAAAGUGAAAGGAAUAUGACCAGAUAAGAAAUGAAAAUAAAGGGGCAAAAAAAAAACUUGUUUACUUACUUGAUAAUGGCCACGUGUCCCCCCUACCUUACAUUGCGGUUUAAUCUUAUAUCUCAUGUCAUGAACAAUGAUUCCAACCUAAUUCUUUGUAUGUAAUAUUUAAUUUUAUCUUUUAUAAUUUAAAAAUUAAUCUCACAUAAUUAGGCAACAAAGAGAUUUCAUUGAGAUAAAAAGGUUAAGAGGAUUAAAUUGACAAUAAAAGGAGUUUGAAUGAAUUAUUUGAAAAAAAAAAAAGAAUAAAAAGAAGAAAGAAUUGGAUUGGUUCAUUGGUCAUGUAAGCAAUGACUCUAGUUCAACUCAUUUAACAGAGUAGUUAUUUUUUAUUGUCGGAUGUGACUACCUAUCAAUUUUUUUUCUCUUCCUUGUUGUUUUCAACAAGUUUCUCUCUUGUAUCCCAAAACACAAUGAAAGAAAAAAGUUCCAGGGUUAGAUUUAAAAAAUGAUAAUUAAAUAACCGGAUUAAAAAAAAAUAAAGAACAAUAAAAGAAAAGAAUUGAGUCGGUUCACUUCUCGCGUGAACAAUGAUCCCAGCCCAAUUCUUUUAGCAUGGUAACCAACCAGAUGAAUUGAAAGUCGAAAGGCCUUGCCUUUGUAUCCAUUUUUUAUUUUUUCUGAUGAAACUUGCUACCCUCUUAAGGGAAAACAAACAUUACAUUCUUUUAUUUAAGAUGAGAAUUAUUACACUGUGAAGUUCUCUCUUAAAAAAACAAAAACAAAAACUUAAGGUGCACACAGAAAUCUUUAAUUAGACUCUCAUGAGAAAUGAGAAUCUUACAUAUCACUCUUAAGGGAAACUGUCGCGUUUUGUUCCGUAGAAAUGUCCCAGUUUCUGUGUCCACCGAAAUUGAGAUUAUAUUUAGGUUGUUUAUUCGGGUAGAAUGCACCAAAGUGUUUCUCCAACUCUGGUUGCUUCUGGUUUUCAUCGAACAUGGCGAAUAUGUAAGUCUCUAUAGGUUUGCCAGGCCUCUUCGGCGUCCCUCCUUUCACAUGCCUAAUCAAAUUCGA
rnacentral:lncRNA from 1 species